UAGGGAAUUGUUCGCAAUGGGCGCAAGCCUGACGACGCAACGCCGCGUGGAGGAUGAAGACCUUCGGGUCGUAAACUCCUUUCGACCGAGAUGAACACUCACCGGCCUAACACGCUGGUGAGCUGACAGUAUCGAGGGAAGAAGCCCCGGCUAACUCCGUGCCAGCAGCCGCGGUAAUACGGGGGGGGCAAGCGUUGUUCGGAAUUACUGGGCGUAAAGGGUUCGUAGGUGGCCCGCUAAGUCAGACGUGAAAUCCCUCAGCUCAACUGGGGAACUGCGUCUGAGACUGGCGGGCUUGAGUGCAGGAGAGGAACGCGGAAUUCCAGGUGUAGCGGUGAAAUGCGUAGAUAUCUGGAGGAACACCGGUGGCGAAGGCGGCGUUCUGGACUGUUACUGACACUGAGGAACGAAAGCCAGGGGAGCAAACGG
rnacentral:rRNA from 1 species